UUGCCCUAUCCUGUGCUAUGUACACAUUUUAACUUCACUGUUUCGUUUCAGCUUUCAUGUGCUCAAGGAUGAGAUGUUCACCAGGCACACGCUGUUCCGCCAAUUUGCGAUGCUUGCUGACACGUCCUUCAAUUAUUCUAAAGUAAAGCCCUUGUUCGUGCAGUCUAAAAUUAACCUGGUAGAUCCCGGCUCUUCUGACAGUGACAGGCAUUCCUUGCCUAUGGUAGGUAACUUUUUCCCUAUUUAACAUUUAAUCAGUUGACAUUACUGAAUCUUAGUAAUGGAAUAUUCUGUUUUACCUUCAGGCAGACAAAUAUGCAGACAUAGUCAGUGAUCAGCUAUCCAUCAACGUGUCAUCAAAAGGUAAGAAUCUCUGUUGUUGGAAAAGAGGGCCACACACAGAACAAGGAGUUGG
rnacentral:lncRNA from 1 species